GACGAACGCUGGCGGCGUGCUUAACACAUGCAAGUCGAACGGAAAGGCCUGCUUUCCCUUGUGGAUUGCGGGUACUCGAGUGGCGAACGGGUGAGUAACACGUGAGUGAUCUGCCCCCAACUUGGGUAUAAGCCUGGGAAACUGGGUCUAAUUCCCGAUAGGACUGCAGGGUGGUGCCUGUGGUGGAAAACGAUUUUCUAGUGGUUGGGGAUGAGCUCGCGGCCUAUCAGCUUGUUGGUGGGGUAAUGGCCUACCAAGGCGGCGACGGGUAGCCGGCCUGAGAGGGUGGACGGGCACAUUGGGACUGAGAUACGGCCCAGACUCCUACGGGAGGCAGCAGUGGGGAAUAUUGCACAAUGGGCGGAAGUCUGAUGCAGCGACGCCGCGUGGGGGAUGACGGCCUUCGGGUUGUAAACUCCUUUCGACCGCGAGGAAGCCACCUGGUUGGAAGGGUGGUGACGGUAGUGGUAGAAGAAGCACCGGCUAACUACGUG
rnacentral:rRNA from 1 species